UCAGGUAGGGAUACCCGCUGAACUUAAGCAUAUCAAUC
rnacentral:rRNA from 1 species